UAUACAUUCUUUCUGGGACACCCUGUAUAUCGAGGGGUGAAAAGCUGUUUGGUUUAAGCAACAUUUAGCUUAAUACGCGACAUUUAUGAAUGUUAUUACGUUCUUAAUAACAUAGGCGAAGGCUAUGUCUUAAUCCUACCGUUUUUUUUUUCUAAAAAAAAGAUACUUUUAAUUUUAUGUAUGAAUAAAAAACGCGACGUGCUUUAUCUACUCUGGCAACACUUUAAGCUCUAAUUGUCUAUGAUAACGGGAAAGCGUCACGCGAAAGUUACCCAGAAUCGAUUAAACCUUACGUUUAAUAGGGAAAGCUUAGUUCAUUGUGUUUUUUAGUUUAAAAAAAGUUUAGUUAAAUUUUCUGAACUCAAAGUUUAUCUGUUUAAAACACGGCUCUAGAAACUAUUUUAUUAUUAAGGCAUUCCAAUAACGCCUAAUUUUCUGUAGCUAUUGCGCCUAUAUAUUUUUUUUCAAUUUUUUUUGACGAUUUUUUGUGAUAAAAUCGAUUUUUGCUUAUUUAUAUUCGAUUCCACCUCUACGUGUGCUUAAGUGAUAUUUUAUUUUUACGUCAACAAUUAAUACUGGUGCUCAAAUACAAGUAUUUAUUCAUUUUCUUUAAGUUCUUCGACUGAACGAGCAUAUUUAAGUAGAAAAAAAAUAAAACUUUUUUUGUAAACUUUACAUUAUGACGUAAUAUAACGUAAUCUAUAAAAUAUUAUUAGUGAUACAUAUUUAUGACUAUUAUAUAAUAUAAUAAUUAGUGUUAAAGUGUAUACAAAAUCGAUAACCAAAAUGUUUUUUUUUUUUUUAAGGCGAACCUAUUGUAUCGAUUUAUCGGAUUGAGAUGUAAAAUCGAUUUUUAGUGUCGUCGAAAAGUAUCGUUUUCAUAAUGAGCGACGCCUUUCUUUAUCUAAUCGUAUAAAUGCUGCGUUGAAGUUUCAGUUCAUACCGACUUCCAAACAGGAGGUAUGUGUAUUUGAUGUCUAAGUAACAUUAUUGUGAGCAUACGCUUCCUUUUUUUUUUCAAAAUUGUAUAUAAUAAUAUCGAACAAAGCGAUUCGUUAGCUUAUAAAUUUGUAUUGGUCUCAUUAAUGUCAAAGAAUAAUCUACAAUAUUAUUUCUUUAUUAUUUAAACGAAAUUUGUUUUUUUUUUUUUAAUUCUAAAGAAUCUGCUAAUUCCGGCGUUAAAAUAAGUACAUUUUCGUUUUGAUCUAUGACCGUAAAUGUUAAUGUUUAAUUGAUUUUGAUAAAUCUGCUUAUAAAUAAAUAUCUAUUAAUUGACAUUUAUUUAAUGUGCUUAGUCUUAGACAAGGGACUACAAAAUAAAAAGAGAAAAAAUUUGUGAAGAUAAUAAUUAUGUACUGCGUUUUUCUUAUCAAGUAUCUUCAAAAGUAUAGUAUAUAAAGAAACAAUUCAUUCCAUUUCUAAAGUAUUCUCUAUGAUUGCAUAUCUAAUAAUUCCCAUUGAAAUGUGUGUUAUUUUUAUUGAAUUUCUCGGAAAACAUUAAAAACGAAAACGUUGUAACUGUGCCAUUAAAAUUAUAAAGCAUUUUAUGUACACGAAUAAAAUAUUUAUGAAAAUAGUAAAAACACAAAAUGGCGCUGACGUUUACUUGCAAAUGGCGUCAGAUGCUACCGAAAAUUGAGUAGUUUUAUUU